rnacentral:rRNA from 1 species
UCAUACAUGCAAGUCGAACGAGAAAGUAUCUUCGGAUACGAGUACAGUGGCGGACGGGUGAGUAAUACAUAGGAAUCUACCCAAUGGAGGGGGAUAGCUCGAGGAAACUCGAAUUAAUACCGCAUAAUCUCCACGGAGUAAAGAGGGCUUCGGCUCUCGCCAUCGGAUGAGCCUAUGCAGGAUUAGCUUGUUGGUGAGGUAAAGGCUUACCAAGGCGACGAUCCUUAGCUGGUUUGAGAGGAUGACCAGCCACAUCGGGACUGAGACACGGCCCGGACUUCUACGGAAGGCAGCAGUAGGGAAUAUUGGACAAUGAGCGAAAGCUUGAUCCAGCCAUGCCGCGUGUGCGAUGACGGCCCUCGGGUUGUAAAGCACUUUAGGUAACGAGGAAAAGUUAGGUGUUAAUACCAUCUAACCUUGACGUUAAUUACAGAAUAAGCACCGGCUAAAUCCGUGCCAGCAGCCGCGGUAAUACGGAUGGUGCAAGCGUUAAUCGGAAUUACUGGGCGUAAAGCGCGCGUAGGUGGCAUAUUAAGUUAGAUGUGAAAUCCCGAGGCUUAACCUCGGAACUGCAUCUAAAACUAAUAAGCUAGAGUACUAG